UAAAAUGCGGGAGUGAAUCCCCUAAAUGUUCGUUUCAUGUCUGUACGGAACAAGACCCGAAAAUGCGAUGAUUGACACAGAGAUAACCAUAGCAACGUUCUGCCGUCUCGCGUGCUUAUCACAGAUUUGACCAAAAUAAUAACAGCAUUGUGUUUUGCAAUAAACCUCCAUCUUGGCGUUGUGUAUUUUAUGCUUUUGUGAGGCUGCUUCACAGCACGGAGCGCGCGGUCUUGCAGUGUUGCCAGGUCCUCGUCUUUUUUGUACGUAAAUAUCGUUUUGGUGCUUUACCGUUUAUAGCUUUUGGCUCAUGAAGCGAUCAAGUUUUUGAUGUUAAUAAAGCGUGAAGAGGCCGGUCCCAAUAUUUUGAUCUUUGAGGUAAAGCAUUUAGAUUUAUUUCGGUUUAUUAUUGGAUUCUUCUUGUUCGCUGUUUUUUUUAGUGCAAGAUCUGGCAACACUAGUCAGCAAACGCUUGUGCCCAUAUGCUUGUGCCUCUGUCAUUUUCUGAACCGCGCAUACAGAAGACUUUUUCCGCUUCUAAGCAUUUAUUUUUUUUUCAGAAGAGAGACCUGUCCUGUUUAUGAUGAACGUUUAAACACUUGAUUAACUACUAGUUGUUCAGUUCGGUUAUGUACACUGUGCAGAGUUUCUGUAAAUGUGGUUGUCACCAUAGAUAUCAUAUAGAAGACUAGAUGCCCUAUUGGCCGCUGGGGACUGAGAAAUACGGCGGCCAUCUUAAACCGGUCGUUCUCCUAGUUUCGUUGCAUGGCAGCAGAUAAGAUGUCAGAGCACUGUGGAGCAUUUUCCUGUUCUAAUCGGCGGACGAUCGCAAAUAGAGCCCGGAUGAUUAUUUUCACAAUUACUUUUUAACAUCGCGGUACUAUUGGUUGUAUUUUGUGAAUAGAAUAUUACCAGAAAAUUGAGAAAGAGCCAGCUUAUUGAUUUUACUGUACUGAAAUCGUAGCCAGCUAACGUUCGCUAGGCUAUGUUUACUGCACCAGCCGCUGUUCACCCUGCAAGGAGAGUGGGGUGCUGUGAGCUGCGUGAUCCGCCGAGCUUUAAAAAGCUAAGAUGUCAACAGGAACAGAGGAUGUUUUCCUUCGUAGGGAGGACAUUGAGGAGACUCGGUUUGGAAUCGACAACUAUCAGUCUGACUCGUUGUCACUGGUUGUGUCUGUGUUUUUAAAGAUAAGGCUCCACCAUGUUGCCAAACUCACAUCUCUUGAACUACAGAAAGGGAGCACGGGAAAGAAGCUCUGGAAAACAGUCCUCUUUCAGGGGUGUGUGUGUGUGCGUGCGCGCGCGCGUGUGUGUGGGGGGGUUUACAAAUCAUUUUAAAUUGUUUCUUCACCAUAUUAAAAAGUCUUAUUUUAUUGCAACUAUCUGUUUCUGCAUCUUUGUCAUAUUUAUAGUGUGUGAUUUAUAAAAUAUCUUAUGUCCUACACCA